CGGGGUGUGGCGCAGUUGGCUAGCGCGCCGCGUUUGGGACGCGGAGGUCGGAGGUUCGAGUCCUCUCACCCCGACCA
rnacentral:tRNA from 1 species